UCUGAUUUGGAAACCAGCUGUCAUCUCAGGAGAUCUCCAGAAAACACCUGGAGUCUGACAACCCUAACAAUGUAUUUAUUUUAUUUAUUCAAAAUAUUGAUAGCUCACUCUGCUCUCAUUGUAUGAAUUUCUGCAGAGGCUUAACACAAGACACAUUUGGAGAUGGCAGGUAUAUGAACAACAAUACAGGAAAUCAUUUGGGAUGGAACCAAAAUGCUGAAAGCUAUUUAGCAGAGUGAGAAGAGGGAGAAAAAGGUGAUGAACAAACCCUGGAGAACCCUCACCCUGCCAAGGAGCCAAGAAAAUCUUCUUCCUCCCACCUCUAACUUCUAUGCUCGAAGGAGUUACUCAAUGAGGGGGUUGGACUUGAAGGUCCUUGGGGUCGCUUCCAACUCUAUGAGUCAUCUCAUUUCCAUCUGCUCUCAAGCAUCUCUGAGAGGAUCUUGCUUUGGUCCCUUCCAAAGCAGAUGUAGUAGCCUUACACUGCUCAAAUAACAACUUGCUGGAGAUUCCUGGUCUGAAAAGUGUUCAGCUUUCCUCCACCAGAGCCACAGCCUUUUUGACCCUCCGGUACCAACCUGGUGGAAUUCUCUGUCUAGUGAGACCAAGGCUCUGUGAGAUUUAUCUUACUUCCAUAGGGCAGGGCCUAUGGUUGAGGAUAGCAACAUUUUUAUCCAUCUCAACUGGCCUCCUUCACCUCCCCUCCUCUUCUGUUUUUUUGGUUUCUGUUUAAUGUUGGAGGUAUGGGGAGGGUAUUGUGAUUCUAGUUUGUUCCUGCUUUGUGGGAUACUAUUUUAAGGUGCUAGGUCAUACUGUUACGUUGAUUUUAUUUGAAAUGAGGAUACUGAUAUUAGCUGCUCUGAGCCUGUUACAGCAGGGGAGAGUGGGUUAGAAAUCAAAUAAAUAGUACAAAAAUGCUCCCAGCACUGCAAACACCAAGAACAGUCUCUUAUUUUUACUCUGGAGAUGGGAGAAGCUUUUGCACAGCAGCUCUUUCUUGCAUUGCCACAUUUUAUUUUAUUUAUUUAUAGCCCACCUUUCUCAGAGAUUCAAAGUGGAUUAUAGGCUACACAGAUAGCAACAAUAAUUGUUUAGUAUAUGACAUUGGAUGGAUAAUGCAGUAGGACUAGAAGUACAAAAUUAAAUGACAGUAUCUACAGCCAACAGCCUGGCAUAGUGCAAGCAAUGCAGGAUCUGAGAUUACAAAGGUACAUUCAAAAAAUGCUACUGGAACAAGGCCAUACAUCCCAGAAACACCUCAACACCCCAGUGAUUCUGGCCGUGAAAGCCUUUGACAAUACAUUAUUCUUUUUAUUUUUGUCUGAAUCCCACUAAUUUAUAAAGUAACAUUCAAAUAUCAUAAGCUAGGUGUUUUUAUGCAUUCUAAUCUUGUUAUAAUGAUGCAGGAUUAUGUGAUACAUUUGUUUGUUCUAGUAUUUAAAUGCAAUCUACCACCUUUUGAGAACAAUGUUAUCUAAUCCAAUAAAAUUCAUUGCCUGU